rnacentral:rRNA from 1 species
AUUGAACGCUGGCGGCAUGCCUUACACAUGCAAGUCGAACGGCAGCACGGGAGCUUGCUCCUGGUGGCGAGUGGCGAACGGGUGAGUAAUACAUCGGAACGUACCCAGUAGUGGGGGAUAACGCACCGACAGGUGCGCUAAUACCGCAUACGACCUACGGGUGAAAGCGGGGGACCGUAAGGCCUCGCGCUAUUGGAGCGGCCGAUGUCUGCUUAGCUAGUUGGUGAGGUAAAGGCUCACCAAGGCUUCGAUCAGUAGCUGGUCUGAGAGGACGAUCAGCCACACUGGGACUGAGACACGGCCCAGACUCCUACGGGAGGCAGCAGUGGGGAAUUUUGGACAAUGGGCGAAAGCCUGAUCCAGCAAUGCCGCGUGUGCGAAGAAGGCCUUCGGGUUGUAAAGCACUUUUGUCAGGGAAGAAAUCUUUUAGGCUAAUACCCUGGAAGGGUGACGGUACCUGAAGAAUAAGCACCGGCUAACUACGUGCCAGCCGCCGCUGUAA